UCCGAGUUGUCCCCGGCAGUCUCCCAUGAGUCCCCGCCAUUACGCGCUGGCAACAUGGGAUAGGGGUUGCGCUCGUUGCGGGACUUAACCCAACAUCUCAUGACACGAGCUGACGACAGCCAUGCACCACCUGUACACCUCGGACGAACCCACUGCAUCUCUGCAGAUGAACGGUGUAUGUCAAGCCCAGGUAAGGUUCUUCGCGUUGCUUCGAAUUAAGCCACAUGCUCCGCCGCUUGUGCGGGCCCCCGUCAAUUUCUUUGAGUUUCAUCCUUGCGGACGUACUUCCCAGGUGGAUUACUUAACGCUUUCGCUUGGUCACACAAAGUGUGUCUCGUAUGACGAGUAAUCAUCGUUUAGGGCGUGGACUAC
rnacentral:misc_RNA from 1 species